UACUUUUCGUGUGGCCGUUCAGACAGAACGUGUUUCAGCUGGCGGCUCUCAUGGACUCAGAGCUUCACCGUCGGGAGUUUUUAUAGUUUGGACGAAGCGGCCGCUGAAGUUGGCUUACGAUUGAAGGUUCGGGACGCCUUUGUAGCUACCAGCUGUGAUCCAACUAUAAGGAGCAGACUUUACUGUACAUCGUAAGUGAACUGCAAUAUCCAGAGGCAGCUCUAUGGAGCAUCGAAGAAAGAGUUGUUUUUGUUGAGCUGAGAGAAUGAGAGUGGCAAGCCCUGGAGAUCUGCAUCGGAGGCCAUCUUUCAGACAUGCACCGCUGCUGUCCGUCCAGGAGUCCUCCGGUUGCCCAGACGUUGCAUGGGUUAAGGAAAAGAAUGACUGUGGAGAUUUUGUCUGAGAGAGGGACCACAGCUGACACGGCGAACAGUGAGGAGAACCGUCUGCACUGGGAGCAGCACCAGAACUCCUGAUGGGUCUCCUUCAGGAAGAACCAGAGAGAUGGCCGACCUCCGCAGAGAAGAGUUCACCCAAACAUCAGAGGAAAAAUGAAUGCUGGGACUCAAAUAGAGCAGCUUCUUUUCUUAAACCCAACACCCAUACAGGGUGUUGUGGCCCUGAUUAAAAACCUGCUAACUUCAAUUUAACUGAAACACAGAACAUCCAGAAAUGUGUUUAACUUCAGACACAGAGUGAAAAUGACACAAUGAGAUGAAAACAUUUGUCUAUAUUAAUUACACUGUUAUACAGGACAUUAACAUUUUACAUUUUAAAGUGUUUGUUCCAGAACACCUGAUACAAAUGAUAGCAUUAGCUCAUCCAUUAAUCAAACAUUUAUUGAGGCCAGGUGUGACAGAAGGAAACACCUGAAACAUGCAGGGCAGACCGACCUGAGGACUGACUGGCUAAACUAUUUCACUGACACUUCAGAUUGCAGAUUUCCAAUUGAAGGCGUCCGUAAGUGAACACAAUCAUUAUUUAAUAAACCAAGCUGUGUAAAAUAACUGUUAUGGUUACUAUUAAUAACCCAAUAUGUCAUGUUUGUUCAUUUCUAGUACAUACAAGGUACUCCACUCACUGUUUAGCUUCAUGUUGAAGAAUCUUCAGUGUAAUGAAACCAAAAAAUAAAACGGGUCCAAAACUUUCAA